GACGAACGCUGGCGGCGUGCUUAACACAUGCAAGUCGAACGCUGAAGCCCUUCGGGGUGGAUGAGUGGCGAACGGGUGAGUAACACGUGGGUAAUCUGCCCUGCACUCUGGGAUAAGCCUUGGAAACGGGGUCUAAUACCGGAUAGGACACAUCGCCGCAUGGUGUGUGUGUGGAAAGUUCCGGCGGUGCAGGUUGAGCCCGCGGCCUAUCAGCUUGUUGGUGGGGUGAUGGCCUACCAAGGCGACGACGGGUAGGCGGCCUGGGCGGGUGACCGGCCACAGUGGGACUGAGAGACGGCCCGGACUCCUACGGGAGGCAGCAGGGGGGAAUCUUGCGCAAUGGGCGAAAGCCUGACGCAGCAACGCCGCGUGGGGGAUGACGGCCUUCGGGUUGUAAACCUCUUUCGACCGGGACGAAGGAUUCGUUUGACGGUACCGGUAGAAGAAGCACCGGCUAACUACGUGCCAGCAGCCGCCGCAGUAA
rnacentral:rRNA from 1 species